UCUUCCGAUCUGGCAUGCAAAGGUUUCCUCGGGCCAGACGGACAUUGGUCCUCGAAUGCAAAGGCAGAAGGGAGCUUGACUGCAAGACUCACCCGUCGAGCAGAGACGAAAGUCGGCCUUAGUGAUCUGACAGUGC